rnacentral:rRNA from 1 species
UACGUAGGUGGCAAGCGUUUGUCCGGAUUUACUGGGCGUAAAGGGCGUGCAGGCGGUUUGUUAAGUGCAGGGUGAAAGCUCCCGGCUCAACUGGGAGAGGUCCUUGCAUACUGGCAAACUCGAGGGAGGCAGAGGAAAGUGGAAUUCCCGGUGUAGUGGUGAUAUGCGUAGAUAUCGGGAGGAACACCAGUGGCGAAGGGCGGAU